AUCGCGUAUGUUUAUUUAUUUUUGGUUGUGAUACAUCGGAAAUAAUAAAGGGGAUCAAGUCUACCCAGUCUCCCCUACGGGCAGAGCACGUUUCCUACAAAAAAGAUGCAACUGAUGCUUGAUUUUUGUUUUCAAAAUAAGAUGAAUAUUCGAGCGUGAGAUGGAAAAUGGAACAGUACCCCUAUUAUUUAUCUAAAAAUCUAAACCGUUGCGGUCAAUGUUUCCAGUGCUUUGGGAAACCUUCGAGAAUCGCCAUGAAGAUCUUCAAAGUCAUACACAUCCCGUUGUUUCUGAUACUAGUGAUGGACGUUUUAUUUAUGGUCGGCUGUUCUAUUAUUGCCCUUGGAGGGAAGGCGAUGCCGACGAAGCAUGACUCACCGUUGAGACGACAUAUCUUAGCGGCUCCUAUUGUUUGUCCUGCUGGGCAGAAACCGGACCAUCGUGGGCGGUGUCGUAACAUGUGGUCGUUUUGAGAAGAAAAGUAUUGUGUUUAAAGUUUGAAAUGUGAUUGUGAAUGAUUAUCUGAAUUAAUUAAACUGAAUUAUAUAUUAUUUAAAUAAAGCAUCAA